rnacentral:rRNA from 1 species
AUGAAAUCAUUACGACCUUUACCAAAACAGUGUCGUCCACAGAUGAAAGUAUUUCAUGGAGUCACUUGCAUGUCUACAGUUUUCUUGUGCGUGCUUGGGAUAUGUGUUUUGUAUAAAUGUUUCGCCGUCUUAUUAAGUAUUCUCCACCUCCUUGCUAGGGGUCUUGUUGUUUUUUAUGGGUAUGUAGUCAACAUCUCAGAGGUUAAUGUAUGA